rnacentral:tRNA from 1 species
GCAUGAGUUGGCUAAGUGGUUAGAGCGCAGGUUUCGCAACCGCGAAAGGACGCGGGAUCGAAUCCCGCUAGAGGCU